GAUGAACGCUAGCGGCAGGCUUAAUACAUGCAAGUCGAGGGCCAGCAAUAGGACCGGCGAACGGGUGCGUHAYBCGUAUGCAACCUACCUAUAUCAGGGGGAAGCCCUAGGAAACUGGGAUUAAUACCGCAUAAUAAAGGCUUUCGCAUGGGGGUCUUUUGAAGAUUUAUCGGAUAUAGAUGGGCAUGCGUAGGAUUAGCUAGUUGGUAAGGUAACGGCUACCAAGGCGACGGUCCUUAGGGGCUCUGAGAGGAGUAACCCCCACACUGGCACUGAGAUCGGGCCAGACUCCUACGGGAGGCAGCAGUAGGGAAUAUUGGGCAAUGGAGGCAACUCUGCCCAGCCAUGCCGCGUGCAGGAAGACGGUCCUCUGGAUUGUAAACUGCUUUUGAAUGGGAGAAUGUGUGGCUUGCGAGCUAUAAUGACGGUACCAUUAGAAUAAGCCACGGCUAACUAGUGCCAGCAGCCGCGGUAAUACGUAGGGUGCGANCGUUAUCCGGAUUUAUUGGGUUUAAGGGUGCGUAGGCGGCUUUAUAGGUCUGUGGUUAAAGGUAGCAGCUUAACUG
rnacentral:rRNA from 1 species